CCUACGGGCGGCAGCAGUGAGGAAUAUUGGUCAAUGGACGAGAGUCUGAACCAGCCAAGUAGCGUGAAGGAUGACUGCCCUAUGGGUUGUAAACUUCUUUUGUCAAGGGACAAAAUCAGGCUCGAGAGCCUGACCGAGGGUACUUGAAGAAAAAGCAUCGGCUAACUCCGUGCCAGCAGCCGCGGUAAUACGGAGGAUGCGAGCGUUAUCCGGAUUUAUUGGGUUUAAAGGGUGCGUAGGCGGGCUGUUAAGUCAGCGGUAAAAGCCCGGGGCGCAACCCCGGCGAGCCGUUGAAACUGGCUGUGUUGAGAUGUCGAGAGGUAUGCGGAAUGCGCAGUGUAGCGGUGAAAUGCUUAGAUAUUGCGCAGAACUCCGAUUGCGAAGGCAGCAUACCGGCGGCGAUCUGACGCUGAGGCACGAAAGCGUGGGUAUCGAACAGGAUUAGAUACCCGGGUAGUC
rnacentral:rRNA from 1 species